rnacentral:sRNA from 1 species
GCCCGGCACAGUGGCGCACACCUGCAGUCCCCGCUACUCAGGAGGCUGAGGCAGGAGGAUCCCUGGAGGCCAGGAGUUCAAGGCCAGCCCAGGCAACAUAGGGAGACCCCGUCUCAG